AAUAAUUACUACAGGUUUAUUUUAAAUUAAAAAUAAUUACCAAUUAAAAAUACAAGAAAAUAGAUUUAAUCGUGUGUAAUUAAGAUCCCAUAUAGUUUCCCGCUUAAAAACAGCACUUAUAAUCUGUUCCUCCAUCUUGAAAACGUAUAGCGGAAAGCAAAGAAAACAAACACUGCUCGAUAACAAGUGCUUAGCAUAGAUUACCGCUAGACGUCUCACAUAUCAGAACGCGAACAAUGUGAGCAUGUUGGUUUAAGACUAUAUAUUGAUAAAUGACAGUAUCAUGCUUAGCGUUAAGAUACACACGCGAGGCCAAGCAAAGCACGUUUGGUGUGAACUUAGCCUUACACUUGUGCUCAGUACGGAAAAUUAUAGUUUUCUGAAACUGUAUUUAAUCCUCAGUUGGGUGUUCCAUAUUCAGUUAGGUACGAAGAUGUUGAAAACAUUUACCAGUCGAAUUAGGAAGCAGAAAAAGAUGCAGCCUUUGU
rnacentral:lncRNA from 1 species